rnacentral:lncRNA from 1 species
GUUAAAAGAUAGAACAGUCUAGCCAAGUGCCAUGUCUCUUAUUCUUGAUCAGCUAUAGCUCUGGGGUUUUUGCAGGUUUUCAAAUAAAACUCAGAGAUUCCUUGUAUGAUUCUCUCAGGUCUCUCUUUUAUGGUAUUUUUGGAUCCUUACCAAGGCAUUGAUGGUAUAUGCCUUCUCUCAAGAUAUGUGGUAUUUGUGGUACAAAGCAUAGUGACAUUGCCUUCUCUCUCACCCUACUCUAAUAAGGCUUUAAUAUCUGGAGCUCAUAGGUGGGAGAUAAAGUAUACAUACUUACAAGACAUUUAUUGCAUAGUCAAACCAUGGAUCCAAAGAAACAAGCCAAUAAGUUUAAUCAAGAUGUGCAUGUGUGGCGAAUGAAUGGUGUAUGGUGAUGAUGGUGAUAACAAUGGUGAAAACAAUGGUGGUGGAAGUCUAAUUCUACUUUUGCUCUUUUGAGGGGAUACAUACCUUUCUUGCUUUUGAAACUUUAUGAGGAGAAUGAGAUGCUCUUCUUUUUCUUGUCUCUCAGGUGGGUAUCUUGCACCCCUAAUUCUACUGUCGGACACUUGUCCAUUUUUACCUCUCGUCUCACUUUUUCUUUUCUUUCGAGGUUCCGAGCACUUGCUCCUUUUUAUUUCCUCGUAUUAUUUUCUCUCUUUUAUUUUUAGAGCACUCAUCUCUUGAGAUAAUAUAGCAAGUGGUAGUAACAAGAUAACUUGAGCAUUUAUUUCACAAAGGGGAAAACAGAAAAUAUUUUUGGUUAUUCUCUCCCGGAUUAGGAGUGGAAUAUUUUCAGGUGGUUUUGGAGAUGGAAUGGAUGGAUAUAUAUGGAUGGUACUUCCAGAGUAGAAGUAGCAUAUAUGUGUGAACGUGCAAGUGAAAUCUUGAUUUAACCACAUGACAAGCUCCUAAGGGUCUACACAGCUUGACCACACUCAAUGCUCAUAAGCAGUAAAUAAUAAAUGUGUGGCUCAAAGUCUAGCAAGCAUGUAUAUAUGGCUGUGGUAGGAAUUUUAAGCUCUCAUCAUACAGGAACUCAUCAUGCAACAUUUUAAAGAUUUUCAAAGAUAAAAUUCUCUAGAAUUCUAGCAUCUCUAGGAACAGAUAAACAGCAGCUCAGCCUUCCCAUAUCUUAUCCGUUAACAACUUAGACUUCAGAUCAAAUUUUCAUCCCACAAGUUUAGGUCUAGAGCAAGCUUUAAAUUAUAACAGUUAUAUCUAAACUUGAGAGAGAACUUAAAAUGUGCAAAUUAGGCAGAGCAACUAUUCAUCAUAUCCAUGCUUAAGUUUUAUUUAGAUACAAAUUAGCAUAGCCACUUUAUUUAUUUAUUAAUCACACUAAGCAAAAGACAUAUAUAUAUAAAAUCUUUAUUUGGUUUUCCCAUAGUUUAUGUGUAUUUUAAUAUUCUAAAAUAAUAUAAGUAUAAAGAUAGAUAGAAAUACUUAUCGGGAUAAAUGGGGGUGCUCUCCCCCAAGCUGAAUUUUGACGUAAUUUCUCUUGAUGUAGCUAACAGGUGGCAGAGGUGUAUUUGAAAGUCAGCAGCAUUCUGACAGCGAUUAGAAUGUCCUCCUUCUGCUAGUCUUCUUAAAUUCUGUGGAGCUCAAAUAGACAACAAAGCUUGUGGAACUGAUUAAGUGUUAGCAUAAAUAUAUAGCCUUCAUCAUCUUGAGACUCCUUAAUAAUUAUUACUCCCUGUUUUUAUAUUUUUAUUUUAUAAAGCAGAAAAAUAUUUAUUCUAUUUUUAUGCCACCACAGUGAAUGUACUUAUGGGUUUUAUGCCACUCGUCUACUCACAUGGGGCUUACUGUUUUUUUCACAUUUUUAUUUUCUUUUUAAGAUAAUACGAACAUGAUUAACUAAGUAAACUAUUUGAAAUAAUUGGAAGGAAAGGAUAACUACCAAGUUUACCUCUUGGCAAGGCGUUCGGUGUUUUUAAGUCCUCCGAACGGGACUCUCCAAUUUCCUAAUCGUCCUGAGGUUCGUUGGGUGGCGUAGUCGGUACUUCCGGCAGCGCCUCCUCUUCUUGUAUAGUUAUCUUCAUUUUCCACACCUGACUUGGUGCUUCAAUCUCCUCUGGAUAAUUCUGUUUAAACUCAACGUCUUCUGACCUUACAACUUCUCCUUCAUAGUCUGUCCAUCCAUCCUUGAUGAUCUGCCUCCUCUGGUUGCGGUUGCGUCGCUUUCUUACCUGCUUAGAUUCUUCAACGAUAUAGUCAGGGUCAGUAAAAUAACGGCGUACCUUCUCUUAGGGGAAGUGCAUAUGGACUUCUCCGGUUCCAAUGUAGAUAAUUGCUUUAACGGUGCUGAGGAACGGCCUUCCAAGGAUGAUGGGUGGAUCAUACUCGUGUUCUCCCAUGUCAACAACUUGAAAGUCUGUGUAGACAAAGUGAUGAAUGUAUGUUGGUCUUAGGGGCAUGGUCCCGAACAAAAGCCGAAAGGUGACUGCGGCCAUUAUGUUGACGCCUGAUCCGGUGUCACAAAUCGUCUUGUAGAAGUUGUAUCCAUUUAUGGAGCAGUAAAUGCUUGGCAUUCCUGGGUCAUCCUUCUUGGUCAAAAACGGUGACUUAAGUUGGUGAUCUUGGCCUCCAUGGACUACAGUGACCAUCUUAGCUGACUCGGUCCACACUUGCUUGUUCCUGUUCCUCCUGUUGGUCCUCUUCCUUGAUUCACGUCUGGAUUGAUUUGGAAUUUGUGUAGUCUUGUUCUUGAAGAAAAAUGUCUCCUUCUUCCCUUUGACAUAGAAACUGAUCUUGGCAGCACUGGCGUAGAUGAUAGCUCCCGUGGUGUUCAAAAAUGGCCUUCCUAAGAUGAUAGGUGCUCUCUCAUCAUUUCCGGUCUCUACCACUACGAAGUCUGCUGGGGCAUAUAAGGUACCAACUCGGACACAAAGGUUCCUCACUAUUCCUCUUGGAAAAGUUAUCGUCUGAUCUGCAAACUGCAAACACAUGGUUGUCUCUAAUAAAGGAUAUGUAAAGAAUUUUUCAUAGAGUACCCUGGGUAUAAUGUUGACACUGGAGCCAAAGUCAUAGAGUGCUUCUGGGAAGUCCACCAUGCCGAUGGAGAUCGGGAUGACGGGUCGUCCUGGAUCGCCUCUCUUGACCGGCAGACGGUCAGUAGAAAAUUCAGUGACGGGGUUACUCCAAUUACCUGCAUCAAGCAUGUCUACAAGAUUUGCAGAUUCUAAUCCUUCCGGUUGUGAUGGUAUACUGGGUUUAGUAGUAGGAACAGCAGCAGCUAUUUGAUUUAACUGAGAUUCAAUCAUUUUAUUAAAGCUAAUUUGAUUCUUGAUGGCAGUAGAAAAAUUAUCCAUUCUAUUAUUUAUAUUUUCUAGCAUUCUAUCAUUAGAUGCCAAUUUCUUAGAUAGGUUAUCCAUUAGCUUUCCUUGAUUAGACACUAACUCUCUCAAAGGUGGAAAAUUAUUAUUAUUGUUGUAAGAAUUGUUACCUUGAUAAUUACCUGAGUAGUUAGGCCUCUGUUGAUUCCAACCUUGAUUUUGUUGAGGACGGUUGUAGUAGUAGUUGUUGUUGUUGAUGUAGUUCACAUCCUCAAGCAUCUCAGGGCAGUGGUUGCCUGAGUGUCCAGUGUCUCCAUACUCCUCACAAGUCAUGUGAGAGUCGUAGAUGUGCAUAACUUCUUUCUUGUCUCCAGCUCUAUCGUCGAGCUUCUUCAUGAGCAGGUCUAGCUUUGCAGACAGCAUGUCUACCACUUUCAGCUGAUGCAUACCUCCACCUCUCUUGCGUGUCUGGGUCCUCUCUUCAUUCCAGCUUUGAUUGGACGCCAUCUUCUCUACAAGAGCUGUGGCUUGUGGUAUAGUAAGUGAUAAGAAUGCUCCUCCAGCUGCAGCAUCCAUGGUCUCUCGGGCACUGUUGCUGAGCCCAUGAUAAAACGUCUGCAUCAAUAGCCAACUCUCCAUUCCAUGAUGGGGACAUUCUAGGAUGUAGUCUUGAAAGCGCUCCCAUGCCUCUGGAACAGAUUCAUCAUUUUGUUGCUGAAAACUUGUAAUCUUCCCACGGAGAGCAUUGGUCUUGCCCAUGGGAAAGAACUUUGCUAGGAUGUUUGUUGAGCAGAGUGCCCACGUAGUAUUCUUCUCCUUUGUAGCGUAGAACCACUGCUUCGCUCUUCCUAACAGUGAGAAUGGGAAGAGGCGAAGUAGUAUAGCGUCUUUGGAAACUCCUGCUAUGGUGAAUGUGUUGCAAAUCUCCAGGAAGUGUUGUAAAUGAGCACUAGCAUCUUCGUGUGCCUUCCCACAGAACUGGUUGGAUUGCACCAUGUUGAUAAGUCCAGGCUUGAGCUCAAAGUUGCCAUCGAUCUCUGCAGCAGGUCCAGUGCGGAUGUUGUCCGUAGUGGGAGCUGAGAACUCGCGGAUUGAUUUGUUCGCCAUGGCUUCAAACUCUGAAGACAAGUUCCGGUGAUCUUCUUGAUUGGAUGAAGCUUCUUGCUGAAGUGUUGAUGAUUUCUUUAGCUUGGCUCUCGUCUUCUUGAAUAAUGCUUCGGGAUCGUCAACAAAAUUCCCUGGAAGAUGUCUUCUAUUCAUACAUUCCCCUGCAUAAGAUAAAAUAGAAAAAUAUCGGGGUAAAACUGUAUGAGAGAAUAGAUAAGCUCAAUCAUAUUAGUGAUGCGAAUGAUUACUCUAUAUCUUUUAUUCCAUUUCUGAUUGGUAAUCAACAUUCCCCGGCAACGGCGCCAAAAAUGCUUGUUGGGUAUUCUUAACAUCAUUACUAAAGGUAGACUAAGUUCUCUAAAUCUAGCAACGGUGCCAAAAAUGCCAAACCUAUCCCUCACACCACUUAAGCCAAGUUGUCAUCCCCAGCAUGAUAUAAGAGACGCGGUAUUGAAAUAUGCAAUUGCUCUUCUAAAUAAAUAAUGAAUGGGAUCUGCAAGCGCACAGAUUAAUACCGAUGUAGCAUUUUAACCGGGAAGUAUUCCAGGUAUCGUUAUUUAUAUUUUUACCACUGGGAAGGGAUUAGAAAUCAUCACUAAUGAUUACAGAAUAGAAUAUGAGAUUGAGAAUCUAUCAUUGCAUGUAUAAUUGAGAACAUUAUAUCUAACUCAUCAUACAGGGAUAAGUGUCACAUAAAAGAUAUAUGAAAUAAUAAUAGUGACAAGGAUAACUAAUCUGAUCUAGCCACAUAAUAAAUAUGAUAAGCACCUCAAUUAGAUACUCUAGAAAGUCAUUAGCAUGGUAUUAGAACGAACUACAAGAAUAUUCCCUAAGUUAUUCUUAACUAUAUAGUCUAGCAUAUCAUAGUUAGUGCAAGCAUACUUAGCAAUCAUUGUGAGACAAGACUACGCCCAUGCAUAGUGAUAUUAGCAAGGAAUAUGAGAAACAUAGCAAUCACUCCCCUGUAAUAAUGUUGCUCUGCCAGCCCAAUACACAAGAGGGGGACUAUAUAAGAAUCAAUGAAGCUGUCACUAUCACGAACCACCCCACGAUCUGGCAUAUUGGGUACAAUCGCAGAUAAAUACGGUAUAAGCACCACGCCUACACAAUAUCUAUCAUUUACCCAUGGAUCCGAUGGAUAAACGCUAUACGAUCCUAAGCAUGUAUAUAGAUCGUAUCUAACUAAGCCAAGUACAUAACUAUGAUAAACUAAGAACAAUAUAAUCUUGAAUAUAAGCAAGUAGAGCAAAGUCAUAAGCAAUAUAUUGAAGUAUAACAAAGUCAUAUUCAUAAUAUUGAAGAACAAAGAUAAUUAGAAAGCAAUUAGAAGCACAAUUAGAGAAUUACCAAGAAUCCUCUUGACAGAUCCGGAAACCAAUCGAAGAUUGACUCCUUCUAGUUCUAAUCCUAUGUAGCUAUGCUAAUCUAGAUAUCUAAUUGAUGUGGUGGCUCUAAUCUUGAUCAGAGGCUUCUUCUCCCUUGAUGGAACAAUGAAUUAGGGUUGAGAGGCUCUCUCCUCCAGGGGCCAGGGGGUCUGGUUUUAUAGUCCCUUCAAGUGAAUAUGGGCCCUUGGAUCAAACCGACAUAGAUUGUAUGGUUUAGAUUCAUCCUUUAGGUCGGUGGAGACUUCCCGCAAAGCAGAGUCCUGUUUGGACUCCAACAGGGGGCGGGCGCCCAGUAGGACAGGGCGGGCGCCCUGCCUCUGGCCCCGUUUCGCCUCCGCUUCGGUCUCGUGGCUUCUGGAGUCUUCUAGAUGUAAGAUAAUUGCACAGCACGUUAAUAUCUUUACGUAAUCCUGACAUGUGGGCCUUUCUUCCAUAUUUCCUGAUAACCCCCUGCAGAAAUAGACAAACACCAAAACUCGUGGAAUUCUGUCAGAUAAAACCCUAAGUCUAGAUCUUGAUUUCAUUUGGAUCAUUUUCUUUAUUUAUUUGAUAAUUAAAUUUGAUACUUAAGGACCGUCAACAGGCAUCAUCAAGAAAGAGGCUUGUCAACAAGGUAGCAAACAGGAAGCAAGAUAAGAAUAUGUCUUGCAAGAACAAACCCCGCACUUGCUACACUUGUCGAGGAAAGGGACAUCUAAGUAUGGAUUGUCCCAUGGGUAACACUCACAAGCCCAACUCAUCAAUUGAUUCAAAUAUGCUUAGGAGGCCCAAAAAUGACACUUGUGCUAGAAAGGUGAUUGGUUCACCAAGUGCUAGCACAAAGGCCAUUUGGGUGCCUAAGUCUCUUGUGACUAACCAUGAUGGACCCAACAUAGCUUGGGUACCAAAUUGUGCUUGAUGAGUGUUGUAGGUACUUAAAGGUGAUAUGAUGCUUCGGGGUGCUUGAGCAAGUUAACUGAAAAUAUUCACUCAAGCUAUCAACCAAUUCAUAUUGUUUCUUCUUAUAUGGUUGACCCAAAGAUAAAUUAAUGAAAUUAUUUCAAACUUCAUAUUCACCUUGGUAACUAGCACCUAAUCCUUGCUAGCUAGCCAUUUGACUUGUGUAGUCUCUGAUAGUUCACAAGUAUGUGUGUAUUUGUGAAUUAUCAAGAGUGGCUAGAGUACUUCAAGUUAAAUGAAUCAUUUGCCAUAUGAUGCUUUUAAUGGCUCUCUAGUAGAGCAAGAUCUUGUUAAUACUGUAGGUAAUGAGGAAUCAUCUUAUGAGGUAAUCAAGAAAAUUGCCACUGGUGAUAUCAGACUGAAGAAAUCCAAGUAACAGUGAUAAGGAUAUCCUCAAGCUGCUGCUGCACCUAAUUCCGCUGACACCUUAGAGCAGUAGUGCCGCCCCUAUAUAGAUAGCAGCAGGUGACAUCAGUCCAAGACAUGGAUGAAGCCCACAACAUGAUGAUAAACAAAGUCAAGAUGAAGAGACCAUCUCAUCCAUUAUAUCUCAAGAAGGGUGAAAAUUUAUGAGAAGAGGUUGUGCUUGGCUUAAUUGAAUAAUUCACAAGUUUGAAGGUUACUCUUCACCUAAAGUGAGAUGUUGCUGCUAGAGGUCAUAUUGAUCAAAAACCUGAAUUUGAAUAAAAUCAAGUUUGAGGUUGAAUUGGAUGAGUUAUAUUAGAAGAAUUCACAAGAUGACAAGUACUGAUAAGAGGACUGAAUGGAAAUUGCAUCUUGUGAGUAUUCUCAACCAAAUCCACCUCAAGAUUGGACAAGAAGCAAAGAAGAAUUGUGAAAUAUUAAAUCUGUCCAGAAAUUUGAAAAUUUGAAUUGGCUGCCUUCAAGCAUGGAUUUGGAAGUCCAAACACUGAUGAAUUGACCUGAAACAUUAUGAGAAUGACACACAUAUCUGAUACUUGUUGCUGUACAGUUUACAUGAAGAUUGGUUAAGAAGAAAAUCAGUUUUGAGUUGAAUUCUGUCAGCUUCAGCAUUGCAGAUUCAGACCAUAGCAGUUUUGGUAGAAAAUUAUUUUGACUAAUCCAAUGGAGUCCAAAUGAGAUGAAAUUUAUACAGAAGUUAGAGGACUCAUAGAUGAAGGUCUCUACCAAAUUUCAUGCAUAUUGGGCUAGUGGUCUGAGAGAUAUGAAUUCUUCUCUGAGGAUGACAGAAUCUGAAAACUGACUGUUUGGAAUUGGAUUGCAGUGUAACAAGAUUCAGUUGGCUCUCAAGUUGGUCAUGAAAGAUUUAUUAAAAAUGAGCAGCAUCAGUUUCGAAAAAGGAGUUUCAUUGGAAGAAGAGAACUCAUACAAGGAUCCAAACAAGUUGCAAUCAGAUUACAAGUAGUAGCAAAUAAUUGCAAUUAGUUGUUAGAAGAAUUCAAAUGCAGUCUGUCAGAAACAGCAGCUAAGAUCAGUUGAAACUUGAUGAAACUAGUUGGCUUCAGCAGUGACAAGUAGCAAAAAUGAGUUACAAUCAGAUGGUACUAGCUGAAAUCAAUUGGAAUCAACUGAAACUAGCUGAAACUAAUUAAAUUACAGCAGCCUGAAGGAGUUUGAAACCAGUUGGAAUGCAGUGUAAACUUCUCCCUUAACCUCAUGGUAUUGAUAUGCAUGAGUGUACUCUAUGUACUCUUGUAUGCACAUAUUAAGGGGGAGUUUAGACUAUAUCUUUUAAGACUAUUGGUUUCUUUCAAGUGUAUGUUGUGCAGUCCCACACAAUGGAAAAAGGAAGAUGGAUGAUUCCAAUGGAUUCUCUUAGUGUUUCACAACUAUUCUAGGAUCUUGGUUUUUAUAAACCAAGUGCUCCCAGUUUAAUGUUGAAUGCCCCAAUCCUUUAGUGGAACUGGAUUUGAAUGAGUUGGAGACAAUAAUUAAAAAAUGGGCUUUCUUUUCUAUUUCUUCUCUCUAGAGCUCAUCAAGUGUUCAUGAACCAUUCCAUUGAUCACCUAGGAUCUUGUCAACAAAGAGUGGUAACUCCUAGUUCACAAUUUGCAAAUUUCAUGAAUUUUACCUUUUGCUCUUUGUGGGUUGCCUUAGGUAAAGAAAGAACUAGGAACAUAAUUUCUAUCUUGGAUGAUCAUAAGAGCUCUAAGUCAUGACAUGUCAUCAAUUGAGAAAUAUAUGGCCAUCCAAAUCACUGGAUUCUCACUUAUGAUGGUCAUAUAAAUAAAAAUAUAUGUGGUGAUCUAUCUACCUUGGUGGUGGUAUGUUUCCUUGGCAAAAUUUCAAUUGUUGCAAAUUUAUGAUGCCUUGACCAAGAUAUAGGAUGAACUCCUCUUGACUCUUAAACCGAUUCAAAUGCACUUUACAAGUAAUUCAAGUACUUACUGCAUAUAUUAAGGGGGAGCCCAUUCUAUGUCCUGUGUCUUUGAGACUAACCUUUUCUUCUAGUGAAUUUGUGUAAUCUCUUGGUGAGAAUAAGUUUCUCAUGCGUAUGCUACAUUAACUCAAUCCAAUUGGGUAAAGAUAUCUCUCACAUUUACUUGGAUUGCAAUUUUAUCUCUUAAGUAGCUACUCUCCAUAAUAUAGCUUAAAUUCCCUUAUUUGGACUUAAUUGACCAAAAGUGCAUAUGUCUUGCCUUCCACAUAUAUAUGUAUGCACUAUCAAAAAGAGGGAAUUAGUAUAUGUUAUGAGGUUUUGCAAUUAGUGACUUACAUGCCUUCUACAUACAAAAGGUCACUAGUUGUGAAACUCCAGCUUGUGCAAUUUGAUGCUAUCUCUUGUCUUGUGAGCAUUACCUAGGUGACAAUAUGAGAUACAAGAAUCUAUUUCAAUUGGCAUCAACUUGUGAAGACUCUUUUAUUGGUGUCAAAAUUGUGAAGACCACAUUUCAUUUGGUAUUGGUGGAUAUUUUUUUAAAUUUGGUAUAUCAAGAAAUAUAUCUUCAAUUAGUAUCUCAUAAUGACAUCAAGAUCUAGCAAUGGACUUUCAAUCAAAAUCAAGCACAAGUUUUGGUUAUCUCCUUAAAGAUGAUGAUGAAAAGAGAUGGGCACAUGAAAUCUUUUUGCAUAAAGAAAUGCUAAGCCCAUCAAAGCUCCAAAUUCAACUCAUGAAAAUCAUUAUCAUGGUGGAGAUUCGAGGCUUAGAACAAAGGUAUAUUGCUCCAUGAACUCUUGUAUUACCUUUGUGCAUCUAGGCCCUUACAUGCUAGUGUGUGCAUGUGUAUGCAAUAUUUGAGCCACACCAUGAGUUUGUUCUUAUGGUCACGAUUAGAGAAUGAUUUAGAUAUUUGGUUGAUACCUCUGUGGUGAUAAAGUGAGUUUGUCUCAUGUUAGAACUAUCAUCUAAGUGAGGUAUGAGCUAAAUAUACUAACUUCUCAAGAAUCUUGACUUAAAGUGUUGCAUACUUUGUUUGGUAGAAAACUCAGGAGAGAAAUCCUAUAUGCUGAAUUUUUACCUACCUCUUGCCCUCACUUGUCUGCCAUUAUUUCUUCCUCUGGGUGGAUAGAUCCUUUUUGGAGAUUAAUGCCAAAGGGGGAGAAAUAUUGGGGGAGAGUGUAAGGGAGGAGAGAUUGAUAUGCGGAUUUAAAGGGGGUAAAAGAGAGGCAUAUAAGAUUUUUUCAAUUUUUGUGUGGAGUGUGCAAAGAUAGUUUAAAUUGAUGCUCUUGAUAAGGAAAAAUUUAUGCUAGUGUGUGAUAUUCAUGCCUUGAAUGAUGUAUUGUUUUUGUUUUCUCUGAAGUGCAUGAACUGUCAUGAGCAUCACGUUUAUCUUGAUGACACCUUGCACCCCACGAAUGCUAAGAUAUAGAAGAGUUUCCACACCUUUUCUUAAAUAAGUGCAUUUGGCAUGUGAGGCCAAAAUUUGAAUUCCAUUCAAUGCACACAUUUAGGGGGGAGUUCACUAUAUCAGAGGAUUCAAAAUCUUAUUAUUUAUCAAUCUCUUGUAAGCUUUACUUGUGUUGUCAUCAAUCACCAAAAAGGGCGAGAUUGUAAGUGCAUCUAGCCUUUUAGUGGGUUUUGGUGAAUUGAAUGACAACACAAUUAAAGGUCUAACAUCUAGCCCUUUAGUGGGUUUUGGUGAAUUGAAUGACAACACAAUUAAAGGUCUAACAAGUUUGAUAAGUGUAUCAAAGGGUCAACAAGAAAGCAAACUUGAUGGUAUUUCACACAAUGUUCAAAUGAAGACCAAAGUUGUGUGUUGGUGUAAACUGAAGCUUGAUUGGUAUCAACACUCAUACCAAGAAGAUAUUCAAGCAAGAAUCACAAUAUUGAAGAAACAGUUUUUCAAUGGAUGCUUAACAUGAUGUGACUUGAGUAUGGCUUGAUAGAGUGAAGAUAGCAAGGAAAAGGCUUCGAGGGACUAAGCGAAGUUUAAGGUCAAGCAAUGGCUUGUAGACCGAGGUACCAUGGCUAAGGUGAAGAAGAGAGUACUUGCAUUGAGUCGAGGUACUAAUUAAGCUAUGAGGAGUCAUAUUGUGUUGAGGAUCAAAUCUUUUAUCAAAGUGACUUGAAGUCAUGGAUUGAACUCAUAUAUGUUGAAAUGAUUCAAGUCACAUGCUCAAGCUAUAUUUACUCAAAGAAGAGGAGACAAAGUUAAUUGCAUCCUUGAUGAAGUGAUAUUGAGAAGAAGUGGCAUAUGAAGACAUUGAAGACUCAAGUGGUUAAAAUGGUUAUAUACUUUUGACCUUGAGUUUAGGAUUUGCCGCACUAUAAACAGGGAUGCAAAUUUAGUUGGUUUGAGGAAGAUAGAGUGCUCAAGUAUUAAAACUAAAUCAAAAGAGAGACAAUCUAACACUUGCACGCACGAACAUCUAGGAAAUUUCUUCUCUGCCAGGGUGACCCGGUAGUACCACCCCUCAGGGCCGGUGGUACCGGCAGUGCCAGCCCUUUCUCCUGAAUUUUGUGAGAAAAUGAACUACCGGUAGUACCGGGCUCGGGCCGGUGGUACCGGCCAGCACCAGUAGUACCGGUGUGAAACCCGGCAGGCCAAAUCUGCACUGACUUUGGUUGCGGAGACUUGAACUGCCGGUGGUACCGGCCUUCUACCGGUGGUACCGGCAAUGGUCGGUAGUACCGACAAAAGCCCGGUGGUACCGGUAGGCUUAUUUCUCGCAAAUCAUAGAGACUUCUUACCGUUAGAUCUGAGGUAGCCGGUGGUACCGGUGGUUGCGCCGGUAGUACCGGCAGUUGUUCUGAACACAUGUAUAUAUAGCUUUCCCCUCAUUCUAACCGUUGGCUUACUCUUCCGCUCGACCAAACCUUCAGCCAAGGCACCUCUCUAGCUCCCAAAAGCCCCUUUCUUGUAUCCCCUUUGCUCCUAACUUCAAAUCUUGCAAGGGAUUGAGGGAGAGAAGGAUUCUUGGUGAGAGAAACAUCAAAGCAAAGCUUGAGCACUUGAUUUCUUCGUCAAGCCGGUUGGAUUUGUGUUUGUUACUCUUGGAGCAAGGCUCCUAGCCGGCUAGGCGUUGCCCAUAGAGCUUCCUACUCAUGUGGUAGCCUCGGGAGGUUUGUAAUCACUCAAAUCAUCUAGUGAAAUCACCCCUCAUCUCAAGGGAUUGCUCUCUUGACUUGAGAACGAGGAUAGGGUUGAAAGAGACCCGAAAAGCCUGUGUGGCUUCCUCAACAACGUGGACAUAGGCAAGCCUUGGUGGCGAGCAGAACCACAGGAUAAAUAUCUUGUCUUUCUGUGGAGGUAGCUUCGACUACCCUUUUUCUUGUGUUCUUUAUGUUCUUCCUAUCUACCCUGUUCAUAGGUGAACAAGGGCCGAUCUAUGUUUUGGAGAAGAACCAAGGCAAGGGAACUUCAACAUCAUCCUCUACUACAUCUAGGAGAGUGGGGUAACUCUCAGAUCUGGAAUCAAAACUCAAAAUACUCUGAUUUCGUAGCUCUCUUAGGGUGUCGGUAGUACCAACAGUUGCGUCGGUAGUAUUGGCUGUCUUACACCAGUAGUACUGGCCCAAACUGUUGGUGGUACCGACAGGCAUUUAAUUUCCGCAACUUGAGUUUUGAGUUUCAGGUUUUUUCAGAUACGCCUAUUCACCCCCCUCUAGGCGACAUCAGGGUCCUUACACGUUCGGAUCUGUCAUACCGAUCAUAACCAUUGCAUUCAGAGCAAUCCCUAACAGUAGGCAACUUGAUGCUCUGUUCCCAGCAAUGGAUAAAGAACGGGCAGUUCCAGUGAUCUUUGUGCCGAUUCCACUCCUGUCGGCGUCAUUCUUCUUCCCGACGAUAAUCCUCCUGCUGGCGCCGAUACCGAUCUUCACGUUGCUGCCAAGUCUCCCGAUGCCUUCUAUGAGUUAUCACAAUGCCAGAUCGAGGAGGCCUUCCUGAGCUAUUUCCUUCCUAGAUAAAACCCUUUCCUUUAGCAUCGGCAGCAGUAACUUGAUGUUGGGGAUCCACCGAUGCACUUCUUUUAGCUGCUUCUGACAUCAAGACCUUAGUCUUUCCCUUAGCAUCCAACAUAUUCGGUGGGAAAGGAUGUUGAUCGAUCUUCAUCGGCUUCUGAGCUUUGGAAUUGUCAAACUUGAUUCUCCCAGAUUCUAUAGCCGAUUGCAGUUGUUGCCUGAAAACCUUGCACUCAUUGGUGCUGUGAGAGGUUGCAUUGUGCCACUUGCAAUAUUUCAUCUUCUUUAAUUCUUCAGCCGAUGGAAUCACAUGAUUAGGCGACAAUUUGAUUUGCCCUUCCUGAAGUAGAAAGUCAAAUAUCCUAUCGGCCUUAGUAAUGUCAAAUGCAAACUUUUCUAGCUCCUUAUGCCCAAAAGGGCAAGACAUCGACUUUUUGUUCUUCACCCAUUCUGCUAAGCUGAUGACUGGCUCCUCAUCAGAAUCCGAGCUUGCUGCUUCAUCUACAAAUGAUACCUUUUUGUUCCAUGCUCUCUUGGGUUCAAAAGGCUUAAUAUCUUGGUCAGAAAUCCUUUGCACCAAGUGACUCAGACUUUCGAACUCUUGAGAAGCGUACUUGUCUCUGAUAUGUGGCAAUAGCCCCUGAAAAGCCAAAUGGGCAAGCUGCCGAUCAUCUAGAACCAGGCUAUAACAUUUAUUCUUGACUUCCCGCAACCUCUGCACAAAGCUUUCAACCGAUUCAUCAUUGCGUUGUUUCAAUCUGACCAAAUCGGUAAUCUUCUUCUCAUGGACUCCAGAAAAGAAGUAUUUGUGGAAUUGCUUCUCUAGAUCGGCCCAAGUGAUCACUGAGUUGGGAGGUAAUGAAAUAAACCAUGUAAAAGCCGAUGCAGACAAGGAUGAUGAAAAUAGACGAACCCUCGAUUCAUCUCUGUUAGCAGCUUCCCCACAUUGAAUGAUGAACCUAUUGACAUGCUCCAUAGUUGAUGUAUCAAUCUGCCCAGAAAAUUUAGUGAAAUCUGGUACAUUGUACCGUGUGGAAUUAAAUCAUAUGCAGGAGGAUACGGUGUCCGAUAAGAGUAAGUGUUGACUUUGGGUUUUAUCCCAAAUUGGUCUCUCAUCACUUCAGCUAUCUUAUCGGCCCAAUAAGCAUCGGCAUCUUGCCGAUGAGGCGGUUGUGGAUCUGGCGCCUGCUGAUAUGUUUCCACAUGUCGUUGAGGUGCACGAUCUGCAUGGAACAUUGGGUUAACCAUCUGACCACCAGUCUGUUGACCCAGAUUCAUCGGCUGGUUGGCCAACCCUUGAUUCUGAAACCCAGGUUGAAUUUGACCUUGUUGAAACCCUAGAGCCUGAUAAUUCUGCUGAGGCAUCUGUGGAAAGACUAGCUACCCCAUCCAUCCACUGUUAGCAUUCAUCAGCACAAACCCUGCCGAUGGCUGGAAAUUGGGCAUCAUCAUGGAAUUGACAUACCCUGGUUGUGUCAUAAACCUCUGCUGCGUCGGCAUUGAGUCUGCCGAUGCGUUAGGCAUUUGGAACAUUGGAGAUUGAGAAUUCCUAGUGUACGGUCUGGCAGUAGUAGUCGUGGUAUACUGGGGACUCUGAUUCAUCGGCAGAUUUGGAGGUGCCGAUGCCAUAGGAGCCUUGUCUUUCAAGUCAGCCACUUGAGAUGUUCCAGGAGUUUUCAACAUCAUCUCAGGGGGCAUACCGUAACCCCACCAAUUAGGAGGAAUAGAUCCCGACAUUGCUGAUGCCAAUAGAUCUGAGGCAAGCUUGAUUUGCUCAUCUGAUGUUGAUGGAUUGGUUGUCAUCGGCGUAGAUUGCACAUUAGUAAGUCCUAAUGUGCUUGGAGGAACAGUAGUUUUUGUACCUGCAGCGGCUGUAGUAGCCGAUGGAGCGGUGACCAGUGGUGAUCCUAGCUGAUGAUAGGCAAGACCCACAUAAUUUGGUGGCAAUUGUCCUUCCUUGAAAGUUCUGGCAACAGCAUUGAAAAUCAUGUUGGACAGCACACCAGCUUGAUUGAUCAAGGCACGGUUAAUAGCAUUGUCAACCAUGUCUUGAAGUUUACCAGGAUUGGCUUCAAAAGUAAUCUGCCGAGGUGCCGGCAAUGCUUCCUUCUGGAUCACCUCGCCACUCCUGUUGAUGCUGAAGGAUUUCAAACAUUGAUGCUUGUAGUCCUCCAUGGCUUUUGCAAUAGCUUGCUUUUGCUCAUCUCUGAGAUUGGCUUCCGUCACAGGGAUGACGUUCUCCAGAUCGAACUCGGUAUUGGCCAUGUCGAUCUUGAUCUUGAAUCUUGUCCCACCAGGUGUGCCAAAAGAUGUGUUGAUGCAAAACUGAUCUGCAAACACAAAGGGCUAAUACCCGAUUUAAACGUUAAGGCGUGCCAGCCGAUUUGACCUUUCAAUCGACAAAGGUGGUAACUCGACCACUUUGGUCCCCACAACAGCGAUGCGCCCGGAUGUCACGGCCAAGAGGUGAUCACGCGGAACUUGAGAACGCGCCGAGCUUAAGUCGACGAAUUCCUAAGAACUCGUAAUAAAAAGAAAAUAUGGCGAAGUCGUUGAAAAAGUAGAUGCUAGAAUAUGAGUAAAAACUUGUGUUUGAUUGAUUGAUAGAUUGUUCAUUACAAGGCCCUAGGGUCCACAUUUAUACCCUGCUCAAAGAGCUACAAUCAGACACGACCAGGACUCAAAUUCCAAAUUAAAUGGAAUCCGUAUAGAAAACAAAUCUAAAUAACUAAGGAAAACAUAAAACUAUCCCCUUGUAACCGACCGGGACACCGCCACAAAUCAAUCGGCAAUCUCCACGCUUUCCUUCAGAGUCAUCGGCAGACCUACUGUUAUGGCCAUCGGCAAACACUAAUACUGAUCAUCGGCACGAACACGUCACCACCUCUAGACUUAGUCACAUUCAAUUGUCUCAUCAUCGGCAACCAUCCUCAUCGGCAACUUCUCUGCAGACUAGUUACCAUUGCUUCAUCUGCCGAUCUAUACUUUACUGAUCCCCAGGUACAUGUCCAAAAACAGUGUCAACACCUAUAAGCUCUAAUUCUGUAAUAGAACCGCCCAAAUUAUAAGAGAUUAAGCCUAAUAGUGACCAUUUGCAUAGUCGAACCAUCGAGCUUAAACCCAUAUAAUCCUGGUAGUCCGUGAAAUCUCGAAGGAUUUCAUACCACAAAUCGUACAUACAGCCAAGAUCGUAAUAAGUUUAGCAGUCACUAUUCACAGUUACAUCCAGUUUACAACAUUCAUAAAAUACAUCGGAGUUCUUCAAAUUAUUACAAACCAAGUUCUCAAGUAGCGGAAGCUUCAUAGUUUGAAAAUAACACACACAUACUUAGUCUGAUACAGUGCCAUAGUUCAGUCAUUCCCACAAAAGCAAAAGAAGAGGUAGAGUGACCAUCGGUCCAUCGCCCUUGACCUAGUCAUCGCCCAUUGCUGGGUACAAGCAGAGGAUGCAAUAACCAUAGUACAUUUGACCAUCUGCAAAACAACAUGGGAGUAGAACCCUGAGUAUGAGAAUGUACUCAGCUAGACUUACCCAUCAUAAACCAAAAAUAAAGACUUAUUCAAGGAUCAUGAAGGCUAUAUGGUGGGGGUAGCUGAUGACUUUUUGCAUAAAAGCACUAUUCUAUUAAACAUAUCCUAAAGGAAUUCUUCUUCUUUUAAUUAGCUCAAGUUGAAAGUAUCAUUACCUAUUAUCUAGGUUUGCUCCUGCACUAUGGCAAACAAAUAUAAUAAUAUGAUGGUUGUUGACACUUGCUAACACCACUUGAAUACUAGGUUGUCAUCUCCAGCAUGGCACUAGAGUGUACUAUGGUAUUUAUACGCACACAGAUAAUCCGCAAGCGCACGGAUACCGUUGAAGCUUUUACCUGGUUAAAGGUUUUAUCGUAUCCACAGGGAAACGGGAGAACCAACUACGCUCUAACUUAACCAAGAUAAGUAAAUAGGAAAGAUGGUAGAUGGUAGCACAAUAUUAAAGGUAAGAUAACAGUGAGUGAUAAUAUGGGAAUAGAGAGUAGAGCAAUCUAGUAUAUGGGCGAUGGUAGCAGAAUAGAGAGGAUAACUAUGGUUUGUCUACUUCAAAGGGAUAUUUCUAUGUCUGGGACGAACCACGUGAUAAGAUUACACCACAAAGGAUGCUUAUCCAUAGGCCGAUAAACCCUACCCGUCCUGCUAACGAGAGGUGGACUACAGAGAACCAACGUAACUGUCACCUACGCGGCCUACCACACGAUCCAGCUAGACAGGGGAUAUCCACAAGUAAUCUAGGUCUAAGCACCACGCUUACACCUAUACUACAACUCUAACCUAUAGCGUCCUAUAGAUUAGAAGUACUCAAAAGAGUUGUGAACCAGAACAUACAUGAUUAGUAAUUGCAUAAUGAAUUAGAAGUAGAUUACCAGAGUCAUCCCAUGAGCAAGCUUGAUUAGAGCUUGAUCAUGACGAAGUACAACCGGAGGAAGAACCGACAGGCCGGCCUCUCCUCUAAUCCUCCCACGCUCUCCAUCUUGCUACAAGCUAGAUCUACUCUAGUUUAGAGAAGAGAGGAGAGCUCUCAUCUCUAAACCCUAGCUUUUGCUCUGUCUAUGAAUAAUGAAUAAUGAUCAAGGGGUGCCUCCUCCAGGGGCCAGGCGGUCUGGUUAUAUAGUCCUCUCAAGGGAAUAUGGGACGUUGGAUCAAAGCGACAUAGAUUGAACGGUUAUUCUUGAUCCUUUAGGUCGGUGGAGAUCUCCCGAGAAACAAAGUCCUGUUUGGACUCCAACAGAUGGCGGGCGCCCAGGGAAACAGGGCGGGCGCCCUGCCUCUGGCCCCUCUCGGCCUCCGCUUCCUUGCCAUGGCUUCUGGAGUCUUCUAGAUGUAAGAUAAUUGCGCGGCACGUUAAUAUCUCUAUGUAAUCCCGACGUGUGGGCCUUUCUUCCUUAUUUCCUGAUAACCCCCUGCAGAAAUAGACAAACACCAAAACUCGUGGAAUUCUGUCAAAUAAAACCCUAAGUCUAGAUGUUGAUUUCAUUUGGAUCCUUUUCUUUGUUUAUUUUAUAAUUAAAUUUGAUACUUAAGGACCGUCAACAAACUCCCCCAAGCUUACCUCUUGCUCGUCCCUGAGCAAGGAUAGACUCAGCAAUGGAUCAGAAGUUGUUGCAAUAUCUUUAAAAUUUGACGGUACACAUGCUUUUAAAUAAGAUCUCAUCUCUGAGUUAGAGUAAACUGUCAAGAACUAAAACUUACUUUACCUUUCACCAUGGGACUUGUAACCGCCACUUCAGUCUUGAGUAGUUAAAAGAUAGAACAGUCUAGCCAAGUGCCAUGUCUCUUAUUGUUGAUCAGCUAUAGCUCUAGAGUUUUUGUAGAUUUUCAAAUAAAACUCAGAGAUUCCUUGUAUGACUCUCUAAAUCUCUCUUUUGUGGUAUUUCUGGAUCCUUACCAAGGCAGUGAUGGUAUAUGCCUUCUCUCAAGAUAUGUGGUAUUUGUGGUAUAAGGCAUAGUGACAUUGCCUUCUCUCUCACCCUACUCUAAUAAGGCUUUAAUAUCUGGAGCUCAUAGGUGGGAGAUAAAGUAUACAUACUUACAAGACAUUUAUUGUAUAGUCAAACCAUGGAUCGAAAGAAACAAAUCAAUAAGCCAAAUCAAGAUGUGCAUAUGUGGCGAAUGAAUGGUGUAUGGUGAUGAUGGUGAUAACAAUGGUGAAAGUCUAAUUCUACUUUUGCUCUUUUGAGGGGGUACAUACCUGUUGAUAUUUGGUAACGCAAUAAGGAAACGAUCCGCAAGCACACGGAUAUCGGAGAGCAUUUCACCCAGGAGGUUAUCCAGAGUUAUCGUAUUUAUAUUUUUACCACUGGGAGAAAGGGUGCAUCUGACUAACCAAAUCUAUUGCUACUAUCCCUUUAGGCACAAAGAAUGUCUUUCGAUGUGAGUGAUAAAUAGAGAAGACUGCAACCGUAGUCUCCUUCUAACCUUGGUAAGGAUGAUCUACUGCUCUAAUGGGGAGGCUAACAGAAUCUAGACACCACAAAGGAUGUUCAACCCGCACCUAUAAACCCUAUCCUUCCUGCUAACGAGAUGUGAUCUGCAAAGGUAAUUCGGAAUUGUCACGUUCCUCACUACUACCACGGUCCAGCUAGUCAGGGAAUAUCUAUGAGUACCCCAGCCUAAACACCACGUUUACGCCAGCAAUGAUUACUCUAAACUCUACGCGAAGAGAUUAAAGUAAACUCAUAAACCAUAAGAACAAUAAAACAAGAACUUACUAGAAUUUAGAAGUCGAAUUACUGAAGAAUCCUAGGAGCAAGCUUUGGGUAAGGAGAACUUGAUCCCGCAGGUACAAGCUUGGAGUAGACACCGACAGGCCGGGCUUCCUCCAAUCUACACCUCAGAAACUAGAAGAUCUAUUUCUACCUUACAUUGGUUGCUAAGCCUAAAAAGAAAUAUUAAUUAGAGAAGAGGUUUUCCUUCAAGGGCACCCCUCAGUCUCUAUGAUAAUUUCUUCAUGUCUUCUCCAGAGGCCAGGGGGGUCUCCUUAUAUAGUCCUCCCCUUCUAGGCAUUUUUGGGUCGAUAGGCGAGGUGGUACUAUGUUUUUCUUGAUCCAAUAGGUCGGUGGAACAUCCCGAGCGAAGAGAGUCCUAUUUGGCAUCCAACAGGGGGCGGGCGCCCAGGUCCUCAGGGCGGGCGCCCUGGGCCUGGCCCCGUUUCGCCUCCGCUUCGGUCUCGUGGCUUCUGGAGUCUUCUAGAUGGUAGAAAAUUGUGCGGUGCGUUGAUAUCUCUAUGUAAUCCUGACAUGUGGGCCUUUCUUCCUUAUUUCCUGAUAACCCCCUGCAGAAAUAGACAAGCACCAAAACUCGUGGAAUUCUGUCAGAUAAAACCCUAAGUCUAGAUGUUGAUUUCAUUUAGAUCCUUUUCUUUGUUUAUUGGAUAAUUAAAUUUGAUACUUAAGGACCGUCAACAAUACCUUCCUUGCUUUUUGAAACUUUAUGAGGAGAAUGAGAUGCUUUUCUUUUUCUUUCCUCUCAGGUGGGUAUCUUGUAACCCUAAUUCUACUGUCGAACACUUGUCCAUUUUUACCUCUCGUCUCACUUUUUCUUUCUUUCGAGGUUCCGGGCACUUGCCCCUUUUUAUUUCCUCGUUUAUUUUUUUCUUUUCUCCUCUUUUCUCUUUUUUUUCAGAGCACUCAUCUCUUGAGAUAAUAUAGCAAGUGGUAGUAGUAAGAUAACUUGAGCAUUUAUUUCACAAGGGAAAACAGAAAUAUUUUUGGCUAUUCUCUCCCGGAUUAGGAGUAGAAUAUUUUUGGGUGGUUCUGGAGAUGGACAUGGAUGGAUAUAUGUGGAUGGUACUUCCGGAGUAGAAGUAGCAUAUAUGAGUGAACAUGCAAGUGAAUCUUGAUUUAACCACAUGACAAGCUUCUAAGGGUCUACACAGCUUGACCACACUCAAUGCUCAUAAGCAGUAAAUAGUAAAUGUGUGGCUCAAAGUCUAGCAAGCAUGUAUAUAUGGCUGUGGUAGGAAUUUAAACUCUCAACAUACACGAACUCAUCAUGCAAUAUUUUAAAGAUUUUUCAAAUAUAAAAUUCUCUAGAACUCUAGCAUCUCUAGGAACAGAUAAACAGCAGCUCAACCUUCCCAUAUCAUAUCCGUUAACAACUUAGAUUUCAGAUCAAGUUUUCAUCCCACAAGUUUAGAUCUAGAGCAAGCUUUAAAUUAUAACAGUUAUGUCUAAACUUGAGAGAGAACUUCAAAUUUGCAAAUUAGGCAGAGCAACUAUUCAUCAUAUCCAUGCUAGAGUUUUAUUAUUAUGAUUCAGAUUAGCAUAGCCACUUUAUUUAUUUAUUAAACACGCUAAGCAAAAGAGAUAUAUAUAUAUAUAAGCACAAAAUUUUUAUUUGGUUUUUCAUAGUUCAUGUAUUUUAAUAUUCUAACAUAAUAUAAGUAUAAAGAUAGGUAGAAAUACUUAGCGAGAUAAAUAGGGGUGCUCUUCCCCCAAGCUGAAUUUUGACGUAAUUUCUCUUGAUGUAGCUAGCAGAUGGCAGAGGUGUAUUUGAAAGUCAGCAGUAUUCUGACAGCGAUUAGAAUGUCAUCCGUCUGCUAGUCUUCUUGAUUCUUAAAUUCUGUGGAGCUCAAAUAGACAACAAAGCUUGUGGAACUAAUUAAGUGUUAGCAUAAAUAUCUAGCCUUCAUCAUGUUGAGCUUCCUCAAUAAAUAUUACUCCCUGUUUUUAUAUUUUUAUUUUAUAAAGCAGAAAAGAAAUAUUUAUUUUAUUUUUAUGCCACCACAGUGAAGGUACUUAUUGGUUUUAUAUGCCACUCGUAUACUCACAUGGGGCUUAGUAUUUUUUAACAUUUUUAUUUUGUUUUCAAGAUAGCAUGAUUAACUAAUAAUCUAUUCAAGGAAAGUAAAUAUUUAAAGGGAAAAGGGAAUGCAGAAAGGAUAAAUAUGGAUAACUACCGAUCUUACCUUUCGGCGAGGGUUCAAUGUUUUAAGUCUUCUUAAAAAGACUUCUCACCGUGUUCAUUCUUCAUUCAAUGUUUUAAGUCUUCUUAACAAGACUUCUCACCGUGUUCAUUCUUCAGGUGCGUCAUUUGAUUCAGGUGCGGACCUUGAUGUCUGCACCUCUUCGUUUGCCUAGCAGUUCGAAGUGCGGCGUUGGCAGUAUCCUGCUCAGUGUGUUUGUGCUCGUAGAUCCAGGUCCUUCACUUGGUAGAGUCUAUGAAUUAUAAAACUCCUCCAUGUUUUGCUCGAAGUGUACCUGCUCAUAGAGACAAGGCAGAGAUCAAGUGCAUGGGUCCUAUUGGUCGAAAACACCAACAGAACCUAAAGUGUAUUUGUUCUUCUCUAACCCUAAGCAUAGUGAGCAAGACAAAGUUGAUGGAUGAAAAGUUCAUGAGUGUAGCACUUAUAACAUUUGUCAGAUCAGAUCACUCAACCUUAUGGAAAGAUAAUCUAUCUAUAUAUAUGUCUUUUUCUUUAUAUCUCUCAAUGAUUGAAUGUGUAACAUUUUAGCUCAUAUGAUUAGGAGUGUGGGAUCAUGGAGGUAGUACUAAGAACAAGGAUUAAAGGACUAAACAUGUUGACUCAGUUGGGUUGGUUAAUCUAGAGUUGUAAAUCAUACAUGUUUGUCUCUUUUAUUUAUAUGAAUGCCAGAACCAAGGAGAAGCUCAUAAAAGUGAUAGUCAAGUACCUUAAGAUGUUACCUUGCUUGAAGAGUGACGGUACAGUAUCACCUUGUGGAAGCUUUCCUUUCUUAGCGGUUGUGCAUCGUAUUUGUGGCACCCUCCAUGGAUCAUUUCUCUAUGAUGAAUGAGCUAUGUCCUUCUUGUGCAAAUUGUUAAACUUCAUGUGUCACUCUCUUCGUCUCUGAUGUGAGUUUAUCUCAGGACUUCCCAAAUCGAUAUUGAAAGUUUUUCUACAGGGGUUAGUCCGACAAAAAUAUACCAAUGUCUACACAAGCAGUUUUUAGUUCAAUAACCGAACUAGACUCCAUGUCUAAUCAGAUUAAGGAAGGCUGUUUAACCUAAGCACCAUGCUUAAUUUAAAAGCCAAUAUAAGUAUGUGCAGUAGUUCCAAACUAACACUUACUAGUAAAUAGACAAAGGUAACAUGACAGCAUUUAUAGAGAUCUACUCAAGUGGAGAUGAAGUAGUGUGAUUAGUAUUUAACAAAUUGAGCAUGUCUUAAAGGUAGGGACAACCAACAUAGCAACAUGGCAAAGGAUGUUUUUAUGUAAAGUACUCCCCCAAGCUUGAAUUUUGUAGAAUUCAAGUUUGGAUGAAUUUAAUUCAGUGUUGCAUGAUGAUUGGUUGGACAUACCUUGUACUUGCUUGUCAUUCAUCUGAUCUUCUUGUUCCAAUCCUGGAAAGGUUAGUGACAAGAUUACCCGAAGGAAUAUUUUUACAAUUAUCCUUAUAUGCUCAAUACACAAGGUAAUGUUGCAAAUAAUUAAAAGCUCAUGUUAUGAUCUGAUCAGUGCUUAUUUUAGGACACCAAGCUUGUCCUUGGGAAACUAUCAAUUUAUGUCGGCGAAGUGGUUUCCUUUCCAACGCUGACCUAAACCAAGAUCAACUCAACGAGAUCUGCAAUAUUUAUUAUAGACAUAUGCAUCGACAACCGCACUUUUAAAGUUUUUAUAAAUAGAAAGGAACAGGGGGUUGAAGAUCUCAAAUGUGGUGAUGUUGGAGAGACCAAUAGAUUGGGAAGAUGUUGCAUAUGAGCAUGGAGUGAAUGAAGUGACUAUGAAAUAAAUUCCAUGCUCAUUAAUGUUAUCUUCAUCUCCAAUCUGAAUGUUCAGAGUUUCUCUUGGAUUGGUCUCACUUAUGUCUUCUUCUAUAGUUGGAUGAAUCCCAUCUUCAAAGGGAGUCAAGAACUCACCAUUUGAGAUUGAACCAAAGUCAGAAUUCAUUAAGGCUUCUUCCUUAUCCAUCCAUUCUACACAUUCUAGCCAUUUAGAACUUGUGAUCAGAAAAGGGGGGUGUUAGAAUUUUCAAUAUGGCUUAGCUCUCCUUCACUUGAUAUGUCAUCCUUGACUUCUUCAUAACAGGAACUAGGACAUUCUCUAAGAGAACCAUUAUUGCGAGGAUUUGAAUCAUCCCUGCUUGAAGGUCUCUUAUGGAACCAAAAGUCUAAACCAUGAGCAUGUGAAAGAUUUAAGGUUGGAAUUCCUUCCUCCCUUGGAGAAUUUGGGGUAUUGAUGGUUUAGGAUCGAUAGCUAAAGUUUGGAAUUGAAGUGGUUGUGAUCUGGCUAUCGAAACUUCUUCUUCUUGUCUAGGAACUGGUUGUGUCUCUUUCUCAGGGAUAUAAAAGCUAGGAGACUUUCCGCACAUUAAAUCAAUCAAAUUCCAAGCUUCACUAGCAGGAAGGUGAUAGAAGGAUCCUCUAGAGGCUGUAUUCAAGGUUUGCUUAUUUUCCCCACUAAGGCCCUCAAAAAAGUGAAUUAGAAGAACUUCUUCUGGAAUAGAAAGCUUUGGGCCAGUGAGAGUAAGGUUAAUAAAGCGGUCCCAUGAUUUCCUAAGAGAUUCUUCUUCCAGUUAUCUAAAAGAAAUAAUCUUACGCCGAAGUUCCGCCACUUAGGAGAUUGGAAAAUAUUUAAGAAGAAACUAUCAUAUUUAACUCCUUCCAAUCUCCAUGAACACUCCCUACUUUGAGUUUAUACCAAUGUCUAGCUUUUCCUGUUAAAGAGAAUGGAAAGAGCUUCCAUUUAAGGGUCUCAUCGGACAUGCCUUCUAUGCGAAGGAGGUCACAGACUCGAUAAACUCUCUUAGGUGUGUGUAUGGGUUUUCCUCACCUUCUCCUGAGAAAGGUUGUUUUUGAACAAAUUCUAUGUAUUCGUGGUCUAUCUCAAAACUAGAUGCUAUGAUAGGCUUUGAAGAUUUUGGUGGUUCGAGAUGUGUGCCCGUAGGUCUAUGAAAUUCGUAGAUAGACAUGUUUGAAUUCAUGAUAGACCAGAGAUCAAGGAUUAGAUAAGAGGAAAGAAUAGCAGAGACAAGUAAAAGAUAAAAGGAAAAAUAUAUAUAUAAUUUUUUUUUUAUUAUUUUUUUAGAAAAUGAUUAAGCAAGUUCGUAGUCAACUCAGCAACCGUCUCCCCGGCAACGGCGCCAAAAAUGCUUGUUGACACUUGCUAACACCACUUGAAUACUAGGUUGUCAUCCCCAGCAUGGCACUAGAGUGUACUAUGGUAUUUAUACGCACACAGAUAAUCCGCAAGCGCACGGAUACCGUUGAAGCUUUUACCCGGUUAAAGGUUUUAUCGUAUCCACAGGGAAACGGGAGAACCAACUACGCUCUAACUUAACCAAGAUAAGUAAAUAGGUGUAAAUAGGAAAGAUGGUAGAAUCGAAUAAGAACAAUAUUAAAGGUAAGAUAAUAGUGAGUGAUAAUAUAGGAAUAGAGAGUAGAGCAAUCUAGUAUAUGGGCGAUGGUAGCAGAAUAGAGAGGAUAACUAUGGUUUCUCUACUUCAAAGGGUUAUGUCUAUGUCUGGGACGAACCACGUGAUAAGAUUACACCACAAAGGAUGCUUAUCCAUAGGCCGAUAAACCCUACCCGUCCUGCUAACGAGAGAUGGACUACAGAGGACCAACGUAACUGUCACCUACGUGGCCUACCACACGAUCCAGCUAGACAGGGGAUAUCCACAAGUAAUCUAGGUCUAAGCACCACGCUUACACCUAUACUACAACUCUAACCUAUAGCGUCCUAUAGAUUAGAAGUACUCAAAAGAGUUGUGAACCAGAACAUACAUGAUUAGUAAUUGCAUAAUGAAUUAGAAGUAGAUUACCAGAGUCAUCCCAUGAGCAAGCUUGAUUAGAGCUUGAUCUUGACGAAGUACAACCGGAGGAAGAACCGACAGGCCGGCCUCUCCUCUAAUCCUCCCUCGCUCUCCAUCUUGCUACUAUCUAGAUCUACUCUAGUUUAGAGAAGAGAGGAGAGCUCUCAUCUCUAAACCCUAGCUUUUGCUCUGUCUAUGAAUAAUGAAUAAUGAUCAAGGGGUGCCUCCUCCAGGGGCCAGGGGGUCUGGUUAUAUAGUCCCCUCAAGUGAAUAUGGGCCGUUGGAUCAAACCGACAUAGAUUGAACGGUUAUUCAUGAUCCUUUAGGUCGGUGCAGAUCUCCCGAGAAAUAGAGUCCUGUUUGGACUCCAACAGAGGGCGGGCGCCCUGCCUCUGGCCCCUCUCGGCCUCCGCUUCCUUCCCGUUGCUUCUGGAGUCUUCUAGAUGUAAGAUAAUUGCGCGGCACGUUAAUAUCUCUAUGUAAUCCCGACGUGUGGGCCUUUCUUUCGUAUUUCCUGAUAACCCCCUGUAGAAAUAGACAAACACCAAAACUCGUGGAAUUCUGUCAAAUAAAACUCUAAGUCUAGAUGUUGAUUUCAUUUGGAUCCUUUUCUUUGUUUAUUUGAUAAUUAAAUUUGAUGCUUAAGGACCGUCAACAAUGGUACCUCAUCAUAGAAUUCAUGCAAUUAUUCAUCAUAUAACCCAGGUGUUCCAUAGUCCUUACUACGAGGACGAAGCUCAUGUCAAGUGCUCACUGUCCAGGAGCGAUGGCGACUCGAAACGAUUUCUAACCAGCUGGCGAGUUGUUCCCCGCACAAACCACACUCACUGAUCAAAUGAGCUACAGAUCACCGUGUUGCACUAUCCAGGACCAAUUCCCGGGUUCGACAGGCACCGCCCGUACCCGAGGACCGUUCCGGCGACUGAGGUAUCCAAGGUAUACCAAGGUUGCGCGUCACGCCCUCGUCAUUCUCCUCAAUCAUCACCAAUACAGCGCGUACAUCGGGCCGAUUCCCGGCCCGGAUAGUGCUCAGGCUUCGCGGUUGGAACGACUUAUCCUUCCAGCUAAAUGUGGGGCAUGCGUUCAACAUGACAAGCGGGCCGUCAACGAUCGGUCCUUAAUCGACACAGGCAGGGGCACUAUGGUCAACCCACCAUAAGACCCUGCCCGGUCUCAAAUUCCAUUCCAUACUUGGUUAUUCUUUCCCAAAGCAAUCACCGCUUAGUCAAGGAGGUAUCCACCUAUAUCUCGCAGGUGACAGGAAAUCACCCGACUUCUACCGGACUAAGCAGGCUAAGCAUAGACUCCGUGCCUAUCUACAUAUGACAAGGUGGAUAAACGAGUAGUGAUAACAAGGAGUACAUAUGCAUCAACGGUAUCAAGCAAUUCCUACCACUUAAAUGCAACAUAGUAGAACAAGCAUAAUAUAUUAUUUAAGUUAGCGAGAAUAGGGAGACUUAGAAUGCUCCGGGGCUUGCCUUUCUCGAACGUGCUCGGCUUAUGAUCCGGGCACUCUUGCAGCUCUUCUCCGGGUUCUGACACUCCCAGAGGUUCCUGCUGCUGUGCUUCUUCCUGCUCCUCGGGUCUCACCUCGUUCUCGUGCGAGCCUGUAUGAUGCAUAUGUGCUCAUGAGUGGAGUGCGAGAUGCCCGGGUGAAUGCUUGUAUGAGAGGGUACCAAAUGACCAUGACAUGAUGUAUAGAUGAUUUAAUUGGUCAUGCUUUUUACAAGGUAGUCAACAUCAUCCAAGAACACGCAAUUACACUAAUCAUCUAUUUCCUUCUCUUCUACAAAUUAUCCUCAAGUGUAACCAGCAAACUCACAAGAUGCUUCAAAGAUACACCAAACCUCUUUUAUUCUACUUAACCUAUAUAUACCCAUUCAUAAUUUCUUUAUUCAUUUUUAGGCCCAUCAAAAUAGCACACACUUUUAUUUAUCAAUAAAUUCCACAAAAAUUACAGUAGACUACCAGUCAAACAUAAAGUCUACCAUAAAUUUUUCAUAAUAUUUAGACACUUAUUUUGAGUUUCAAAAAUCACAAGAUUAAUUCAUAAAAGCAAGUACAAAUACUCUACUGUGGUAUAAGUGUCAAACAGCAGAUUUCAUAUUUUUAUAAUUUACUUGUUAUCAUAAGAAACACCCACAAAAAUUUCCAGAUUAAUUGCCAGAUCCAAUUAUUUAUUAAAAAUCAUAAACCACUGCCAUGCAAGCAUUUAAAUCACCAUAAAUUCUUUAUUCNNNNNNNNNNNNNNNNNNNNNNNNNNNNNNNNNNNNNNNNNNNNNNNNNNNNNNNNNNNNNNNNNNNNNNNNNNNNNNNNNNNNNNNNNNNNNNNNNNNNNNNNNNNNNNNNNNNNNNNNNNNNNNNNNNNNNNNNNNNNNNNNNNNNNNNNNNNNNNNNNNNNNNNNNNNNNNNNNNNNNNNNNNNNNNNNNNNNNNNNNNNNNNNNNNNNNNNNNNNNNNNNNNNNNNNNNNNNNNNNNNNNNNNNNNNNNNNNNNNNNNNNNNNNNNNNNNNNNNNNNNNNNNNNNNNNNNNNNNNNNNNNNNNNNNNNNNNNNNNNNNNNNNNNNNNNNNNNNNNNNNNNNNNNNNNNNNNNNNNNNNNNNNNNNNNNNNNNNNNNNNNNNNNNNNNNNNNNNNNNNNNNNNNNNNNNNNNNNNNNNNNNNNNNNNNNNNNNNNNNNNNNNNNNNNNNNNNNNNNNNNNNNNNNNNNNNNNNNNNNNNNNNNNNNGAGCUAGAUCUCAUCGACGGAGGAGGUCCCUAGCGGCAGCUAUGGCACACGGCGGAGCUCGGUGGCGUUUCUCACCGGCGUCCAGCCGUCUCCGGCCGAUAGAGUGCGAACGGAGGGGUGCUUAGGGUUCGCGGGAGCACGGCGACCACAAUGCGCGAACAAACGAAGAGAAAAGGGGUCGGGAAGGGGGAGAUUCGCGGGGACCGAGAGCUCGUCGGAGCUCCGGCCAUGUCGCGGUGGUGAAAUCUCACCUAAUACCUGGACGCUGUCGGCCGAGAGUGUGCGCACGAGGUUGCGCUCGUCGAGGCGGAGCUAGGGGCGGGUUUAAUCGGGCGCGGGUGACCGGAGUUGGGCGCUGGGCUUCGGCACCAAUGGCGCACAACGGAGCGCCGCCGCGGCUGCUGCUGCUCGCGCGGGGAGGAAGAAGAGAGGGGAGAGCGGGCGACAGAGUGGAGUGGAGUGGCCUGGGGGCGCGGGGCGGCGUCCCGACCAGGUGAAGGCAGGUCGGCCGCGGCGCGUCCAACGCCGGCGUACGGCCGCCACGUGGCCGGCGCCGGGUGGAGCGAGGCGGGCGCCCCGCACGGGAGAGAGAGGGGAGGGGGAAGCGGGCCGAGCUGCUGUCUGGGCCGAAAGGGAGGCGGAUCGGCCCAGCAGCGCCUGUCCCCUUUUCUUUUUUUUUUGAAUUACUUUUCUCCAAAAAGUUUAAAUAAUACUUUUGAAGCUUUUACAAAACUUUUCAGGGGUUGGAGUAAAAAGAAGAAUGGUUCCCAUGAAAUUCCCUACAACUUUGCUUUAAUAAGUGAAGCCAAAUUCCAAAUAGAAUUUGAAUCACAGAUUAAAACCAGUUCUAGGUUUUUAAAUAAAUUUAUUUUUGGGAUUUUUAUUCCAUCUCUCAAAUCCUAUGGCUCCAAAAAUGUCACAAAAUUACUCUUAAAUAUUCUUACACUCAUUUCAACCUAAUUUGAAUAUUUCACAAUUUUUGAACAAGCAUAAUAUCUUUAACAAAUUUAAUUCACUUAAAAUAAAGCACACAUAAAAUCACACUUGAGUUAUUAUUGUGCUCAUGGGAUGUGAUGCUUAUGCCAUGCUUGAUGAGAAUGCUUAUGAAGGUUUCAUGAGACUAAGUGCAUGCUUAACACCUAGGGUGUUACAGCCCAUCCCCUUAGGAAAAUCUCUUCCCGAGAUUUGGGUUACUAACCAUUUCUUAUGAAAUUUUGGGUAAGCUGUUUUUAGGUAAUCCUCGGUUUCCCAGGUGGCAUCCCUAUCAUCAUGAUGACUCCACACCACCUUGUAAGUUUUAACAACUCUGUUUCGGGUUACUCGCUCUUUGGUAUCUAUGAUACCCACUGGCUGCUCUUUAUACUCUAAGUCUGCCUUUAUUUUGAUUCCUCGGGGUUCAAUCCUCUGCUCGGGUACUUUCAAACAUUUCUGUAGUUGGGACACGUGGAAAACUGGAAAGAUCGAACUCAACUCUUCAGGUAACUGAAUCUUGUAGGCCAUAGGGCCCUUUCUUUCUAGAAUCUGAUAUGGUCCCACGUAUCUGGGUGCAAGCUUGCUUCGAACUCGGAAACGUUGAACUUUCUUCAUCGGCGUAACCUUGAGGUAGACAUAGUCACCUAUAUUGAAUUCAAGUGGCCUUCUUCUCUUAUCAGCAUAACUCUUUUGUCACGAUUGUGCCGCCCUCAUAUGCUACUGUAUGAUUUGCACCUUUUUCUCAGCCUCAUUCACGAAGUCCAUACCAUAGUAUCUCCUUUCACCCGGUUCAACCCAGUUUAACGGAGUCCUGCAUCUUCGACCAUACAAAGCUUCGAACGGGGCCAUCUUGAUACUCUCUUGAUAGCUAUUAUUGUAGGAGAACUCAGCCAAUGGCAACCAUGAUUCCCAUGAUCCCUUGGACGAUAACACACAAGCCCUCAGCAUAUCUUCUAGUACUUGAUUGAGUCUUUCCGUUUGACCUGAGGUUUGGGGGUGAUACGCUGUGCUUCUUAUCAGACUAGUCCCCAAACUCUUAAGCAUUCGCUCCCAGAAAUGAGCGGUGAACUGUGGUCCUCUAUCUGAUAUGAUGGUCUUGGGAAUGCCAUGCAACUUGACGAUCUCAGCUAUAUAUAUAUCAGCAUACUCAGGAGGUCUGUAGGUGUUCUUAACUGGAAUGAAAUGGGCCGACUUGGUCAAUCGAUCUAUGAUGACCCAAAUCGAGUCAUUUCCCUUUCGCGUUGUCGGCAACCCUGUGAUAAAAUCCAUACUGACAUUUUCCCAUUUCCCCUCUGGAACUGAUAACGGUUGUAACAGACCUGCAGGUUUCAUAUGUAUAGCCUUGACUCUGCAACACGUGUCACAAUGGGCCACAUAUGCGGCUAUUUCUUUCUUCAUUUUGGUCCACCAAAAGUGAGAUCUUAGGUCUUGGUACAUCUUACUACUGCUAGGAUGACUAGAAAGCUUGGAGAGAUGGGUUUCAUCCAUGAUGCGAUUCUUCAUUCUUCGGAACUACCAGCCGGUGCUGAAACCACAAUACCCCUUUUUCAUCAACUCUGAAUUGAGUCUUUGGGUCGUUUUUGAUCUUUUCUUUGAUGUGGAAAAUACCCUUGUCUGUUUUCUGACCCUCGAUGACUUGACUUUCAAGUGAACAACUGAGCUGUAUGUGACAUAAGACUUCAGGGUGCAUGAGAUUGAAACCAUCUUUAAACAGAGGUUGAACCACUUGACAAUGCGGUUUGCGACUCAAAGCGUUUGCUACCACAUUAGCCUUGCCUGGAUGGUAGUGGACUUCCAGAUCGUAAUCCUUGAUCAGUUCCAACCAUCUUCGUUGCCUCAUGGAUUGAGUGAAGAUGUAUUUCAAACUUUUAUGAUCAGUGUAGAUAUGACAUUUAUUUCCCAGCAAAUAGUGCCUCUAGAUCUUCAAAGCGUGCACUACCGCUGCUAACUUGAGAUCGUGAGUUGGGUAGUUGGCUUCGUGCUUUCUCAACUGUCGGGAAGCGUAAGCUAUUACUCUGCCGUCUUGGAUCAGCACACAUCCCAAGCCACUUUUCGAUGCGUCGCAAAACACAUCGAAAGGCUUCUCGAUAUUGGGUUGCGCUAGAACGGGAGGGGUGGUUAGCAACUUUUGAAAGGUGCGGAAGGCUAGUUCACACCCUUCCGUCCAUACAAACUUAUGAUCUUUUUGUAGCAAGCUGGUCAUUGGCUUAGCAAUCUUGGAGAAGUCGGGUAUGAAACGACGAUAAUACCCGGCCAGACGAGGAAAGCUUCAAACUUCCGAGACAGAAGUUGGUGCCUUCCAGUCCACGACUUCCUGUACCUUUGACGGAUCUACAGCAAUCCCAUCUUCAGACAGAAUGUGCCCUAGGAAAGGAACUUUCUUCAACUAGAACUCACACUUGCUGAACUUUGCAUAUAACUGAUGCUCUCGCAGUCGCGUUAGCACGACUCUCAGAUGCUCGGCAUGAUCUUGCUCAUUUUCUGAAUAAACUAGAAUAUCAUCGAUAAACACCACAACAAACUUAUCUAACCCUGGCAUAAAGACUGAAUUCAUCAAAUACAUGAAGUAUGCAGGAGCAUUUGUCAACCCAAAGGACAUGACAAGAUACUCAUACAACCCAUAUCUGGUGGAAAAAGCAGUCUUCGGGAUAUCUUGCGGACGGAUCUUGAUUUGGUGAUACCCGGACCUCAAAUCUAUCUUGGAAAAUACCUUUGCCUUGGACAACUGAUCAAACAAAAUAUCAAUCCUUGGAAACAGAUACUUAUUCUUGAUUGUUACCGCAUUGAGUGGACGAUAGUCCACGCACAUGCGUAACGAUUGAUCCUUCUUUUUCACAAACAACGCUGGACAACCCCAUUCUGACGAACUUGGCUGGAUGAACCCCUUAUCCUGUAACUCCUUUAGUUGAUUCUUCAACUCAGCGAGUUCAUUUGGCGGCAUCCGAUACGACCUUCUAGAUAUUGGUGCGGUACCUGGUAUCAAUGUUGAUAUUUGGUAACGCAAUUAGAAAAUGAUCCGCAAGCGCACGGAUAUCGGUGAGCAUUUCACCCGGGAGGUUUUCCAGAGUAUCGUAUUUAUAUUUUUACCACUGGGAGAAAGGGUGCAUCUGACUAACCAAAUCUAUUGCUACUACCCCUUUAGGCUACAAAGAAUGUCUCUUGAUGUGAGUGAUGUAUAGAGAAGACUGCAACCGUAGUCUCGUUCUAACCUUGGUAAGAAUGAUCUACUGUUCUAUUAGGGAGGCUCACGGAAUCUAGACAACACAAAGGAUGUUCGACCCGCACCUAUAACCCUACCCGUCCUGCUAACGAGAUGUGAUCUACAAAGGUAACUCGGAAAUGUCACGUUCCUCACUACUACCACGGUCCAGCUAGUCAGGGGAUAUCUAUGAGUACCCUAGCCUAAACACCACGUUUACGCUAACAAGUGAUUACUCUAAUACUCAACCGGAAGAGGAUUAAAGUAAACUCAUAAACCAAAGAACAAUAAAACAAGAACUUACUAGUAUUAGAAGUCGAAUUACUGAAGAAUCUUAGAAGCAAGCCUCGGGUUAGGAGACUUGAUCCCGUAGGUACAACUCGGAGUAGACACCGACAGGCCGGCCUUCCUCCGAUCCACACCUCCACUCUAUCUCUCUCAAUCUAGUAGAAACUAGAAGAUCUAUUUCUACCUUACAUUGGUUGCUAAGCCUAAAAAGAAAUAUUAUUUAGAGAAGAGGUUUUCCUUCGAGGGCACCCCUCAAUCUCUAUGAUAAUUUCUUGUCUCCUCCAGGGGCCAGAGGGGGUCUCCUUAUAUAGUCCUCCCCUUCUAUGCGUUUUUGGGUCGAUAGGCGAGGUGUUACUAUGUUAUUCUGGAUCCAAUAGGUUGGUGGAACGUCGUGUGCGAAGAGAGUCCAGAACGGAGUCCAGAGGGGGGCGGGCGCCCAGGUCCUCAGGGCGGGCGCCCUGGGCCUGGCCCCUUUCGGGCUCCGCUUCCUUCCCGUGGCUUCUGGAGUCUUCUAGAUGGUAGAAAAUUGCGCGGUGGGUUGAUAUCUCUAUGUAAUCCCGACAUGUGGGCCUUUCUUCCUUAUUUCCUGAUAACCCCCUACAGAAAUAGACAAACACCAAAACUCGUGGAAUUCUGUCAGAUAAAACCCUAAGUCUAGAUGUUGAUUUCAUUUGGAUCCUUUUCUUUGUUUAUUUGAUAAUUAAAUUUGAUAGUUAAGGACCGUCAACAAACUCCCCCAAGCUUACCUCUUGCUCGUCCCUGAGCAAGGAUGAACUCAAGAGUUUCUGCAGUGGUUUCAUUUCUUAGAAGUACACACGCAUUUAAGCAAGAUCUCAUCUCUGAGUUAGAAUAAAAUGUUAAGACUUAAAACUUACUUACUUUACCUACACCAUAGGACUUGUAACCGUCACUUCUGUCUUGAGUGGUUAAAAGAUAGAACAGUCUAGCCAAGUGUCAUGUCUCUUAUUCUUGAUCAGCUAUAGCUCUGGGGUUUUUGCAGAUUUUCAAAUAAAACUCAGAAAUUCCUUGUAUGAUUCUCUCAGGUCUCUCUUUUGUGGUAUUUUUGGAUCCUUACCAGGGCAGUGAUGGUAUAUGCCUUCUCUCAAGAUAUGUAGUAUUUGUGGUAUGAAGCAUAGUGACAUUGUCUUCUCUCUCACCCUACUCUAAUAAGGCUUUAAUAUCUGGAGCUCAUAGGUGGGAGAUAAAGUAUAUAUACUUACAAGACAUUUAUUGCAUAGUCAAACCAUGGAUCCAGAGAAACAAGUCAAUAAGUCAAAUCAAGAUGUGCAUGUGUGGCGAAUGUAUGGUGUAUGGUGAUCAUGGUGAUAACAAUGGUGAAAGUCUAAUUCUACUUUUGCUCUUUUAAGGGGAUACAUACCUUUCUUGCACUUAGAAGUUUUUUAGGGAGAAUGAGAUGCUCUAUAUUUUCUUUUUCUUACCUCUCAGGUGGGUAUCUUGUACCCCUAAUUCUACUGUCGGACACUUGUCCAUUUUUACCUCUCGUCUCACUUUUUCUUUUCUUCGAGGUUCCGGGCACUUGCCCCUUUUUAUUUCCUCGUAUAUUAUUUAUUUUUUUCUUCUUUUUUUUCUCUUUUUUUUUCUUUCUAGAGCACUCAUCUCCUGAAAUAAUGUAGCAAGUGGUAGUAACCAAAAUAACUGGAGCAUUUAUUUCACAGGGAAUAACAGGGAUAGGAAAAUGUUUUUGGCUAUUCUCUCCCGGAUUAGGAGUAGAAUAAUUUUGGGUAAAACUGGAGAUAGAAAUGAGUGGAUAUAUGUGGAUGGUACUUCUGGAGUAGAAGUAGCAUGUAUGAGUAAUCGUGCAAGUGAAUCUUGAUUUUAACCACAUGACAAGCUCCUAAGGGUCUACACAGCUUGACCACACUCAAUGCUCAUAAGCAGUAAAUAGUAAAUGUGUGGCUCAAGGUCUAGCAAGCAUGUAUAUAUGGCUGUGGUAGGAAUUUAAACUCUCAUCAUACAGAAACUCAUCAUGCAACAUUUUCAAGAUUUUCAAAGAUAAAAUUCUCCAGAAUUCUAGCAUCUCUAGGAACAGAUAAACAGCAGCUCAACCUUCCCAUAUCGUAUCCGUUAACAACUUAGACUUCAGCUCAAGUUUUCAUCCCACAAGUUUAGGUCUAGAGCAAGCCUUAAAUUAUAACAGUUAUAUCUAAACUUGAGAGAGAACUUCAAAUUUGCAAAUUAGGGAGAGCAACUAUUCAUCAUAUCCAUGCUUAAGUUUUAUUAGAUACAGAUUAGCAUAGCCACUUUAUUUAUUUAUUAAACAUACUAAGCAAAAUAUAUAUAAGCAUAAAAUCUUUAUUUGGUUUUUCAUAGUUAUGUGUAUUUAUAUUCUAAUAUAGUAUAAGUAUAAAGAUAGAUAGAAAUACUUAUCGAGAUAAAUGGGGGUGCUCUCCCCCAAGCUGAAUUUUGACGUAAUUUCUGUUGAUGUAGCUAGCAGGUGGCAGAGGUGUGUUUGAAAGUCAGCAGUAUUUUGACAGCGAUUAGAAUGUCCUCCGUCUGCUAGUCUUCUUGAUUCUUAAAUUCUGUGGAGCUCAAAUAGACAACAAAGCUUGUGGAACUAAUUAAGUGUUAGCAUAAAUAUCUAGCCUUCAUCAUGUUGAGCUUCCUUAAUAAAUGUUAUUUAUUUAGCAGGAUCAUACACUUAUUAUUAUUAUUAUAUAUAUAUAUAUAUAUAUAUUUAUAUAUUUUUAAUGUAAGAUGAAAACUUAUUUAUUUUAUUUUUAUGCCACUACAGUGAAUGUACUUAUGGGUUUUAUGCGAUGAGCAUACUCACAUGGGGCUUACUAUUUUUUAACAUUUUUAGUAUUUUUAUUUUCUUUUCAAGAUAGCAUGAACCUGAUUAACUAAGCAAACUAUAAUUGAAUAAUUGAAAGGAAAAGGAUAACUACCAAGUUUACCUCUUGGCAAGGCGUUCGGUGUUUUUAAGUCCUCCGAAUGGGACUCCUUGUGUUUUUAGUCGUCCUGGGACUCGCUAGGUGGCGUAGUCGGUGAUUCCGGUGGCGCCUCCUCUUUGUGUAUAACUAUGUUCUCUUUCCAUACCUGACUCGGUGCUACGGUCUUCUCAGGACAGUUCUGUUUGUUGUAUGUCUUCAGUCCUUAUCACUUCUCCUUCGUAGUCUACCCAUCCGUCCUUGAUGAUUUGCCUCCUCUGGUUGCGGUUGCGUUGUCUUCUUCUUGUCCUGACCUGCUUAGAAUCUUCAACUAUAUAGUUAGAAUCAUUAAAGUAGUGGCGUACCUUCUCAGAGGGGAAGUGCAUGUGGACUUUUCCGGUUCCAAUAUAGAUAAUGGCUUUGAUAGUGCUGAGGAACGGUCUUCCAAUGAUGGUGGAUGGAUCAUACUCGUCUUCUCCCAUGUCAAUGACCUGAAAAUUGUCUGAAGCUGAAUGUAUCUUGGUUGUAGGAGCAUAGUUCCAUGCAGGAGCUGAUAAGUGACUGCGGCCAUUAUGUUGUCGUUAGAUCCGGUGUCGUAGAGUGUCUUCUGAAAAGAGUAUCCGUUGAUUGUGCACUCGAUGCUUGGAACACCAGGGUUGUCCUUCUUGAUCAGGAAUGGCGACUUGAGUCGACGAUCUUGACCUCUUUGAACUGCAGUGACCAUCUUAGCAGAUUCAGUCCACAUUUGCUUGUUCCUGUUCCUCCUGUUGGUCCUCUUCCUUGGUUCAUGUCGGGAUUGCUCUGAAGCUUGUGUAGUCUUGUUCUUGAAGGAAACUCUCCUUCUUCCCCUUGAUGUAGAGACUGAUCUUGGCAGCAUUAGCGUAGAAAACUGCUCUGGUGUUUAGGAAUGGCCUCCCUAAGAUGAUGGGUGCUCUCUCCUCACUACCAGUCUCUAUCACCACGAAGUUUGCUGGAGUGUACAAGGUACCAACUCGGACACAGAGGUUCUUCAAUAUUCCUUUGGGAAACUAAGUGUCUGAUCUCCAUUGUGUUUGUGCUCGUAGAUCUCGGUUCUUCACUUGAUGGAAUCUGAGAGUUGUAAAACGCCUUCACGUUUCUCAAAAUGUGUCCUGCUCAUAGAGACAUGGCAGAGAUCAAGUGCAUGGGCCCUAUUGGUGGAAAACACCAACAGAACCAAAAGUGUAUUUGUUCUUCUCUAACCUUAAGCAUAUUGAGCAAGACAAAGUUGAUGGAUCAUGAGUGUAGCAUUUAAAACAUUUGUUAGAUCAGAUGGCUCAACCUAAUGGAA